UACGUAGGCAGCAAGCGUUGUUCGGAGUUACUGGGCGUAAAGGGUGCGUAGGUGGCUCUAUAAGUAUGGUGUGAAAUCUCCCGGCUUAACUGGGAGGGUGCGCCGUAGACUGUGGGGCUAGAGUGUGGGAGAGGAAAGUGGAAUUCCUGGUGUAGCGGUGAAAUGCGUAGAUAUCAGGAGGAACACCGGUGGUGUAAACGGCUUUCUGGACCAUAACUGACGCUGGAGGCACGAAAGCGUGGGUAGCAAACAGG
rnacentral:rRNA from 1 species